GGGGCUGUGGCUCAGUAGCAGAGCAUCUGCUUUGCAUGCAGAAGUCCAGUCCCUCAAGUCCAGUCCCU
rnacentral:tRNA from 1 species